CCUACGGGAGACAGCAGUAGGGAAUUUUCGUCAAUGGGCGCAAGCCUGAACGAGCAAUGCCGCGUGAACGAGGAAGGUCUUCGGAUCGUAAAGUUCUGUUGAAGGGGAAAAAGAGCGGAGAGAGGAAAUGGUCUCCGAUUGAUAUUACCCUUCGAGGAAGUCCUGGCUAACUACGUGCCAGCAGCCGCGGUAAUACGUAGGUGGCGAGCGUUAUCCGGAAUGAUUGGGCGUAAAGGGUGCGUAGGCGGCCUGCUAAGUCUGGAGUGAAAGGUACCGGCUCAACCGGUACAGGCUCUGGAAACUGGCGGGCUAGAGAGCAGGAGAGGGCGGUGGAACGCCAGGUGUAGCGGUAAAAUGCGUAGAUAUAUGGAAGAACACCAGUGGCGAAGGCGGCCGCCUGGCCUGUUACUGACGCUGAGGCACGAAAGCGUGGGGAGCAAAUAGGAUUAGAAACCCGGGUAGUC
rnacentral:rRNA from 1 species